AUUGAACGCUGGCGGCAGGCCUAACACAUGCAAGUCGAGCGGAUGAAGGGAGCUUGCUCCUGGAUUCAGCGGCGGACGGGUGAGUAAUGCCUAGGAAUCUGCCUGGUAGUGGGGGAUAACGUCCGGAAACGGGCGCUAAUACCGCAUACGUCCUGAGGGAGAAAGUGGGGGAUCUUCGGACCUCACGCUAUCAGAUGAGCCUAGGUCGGAUUAGCUAGUUGGUGGGGUAAAGGCCUACCAAGGCGACGAUCCGUAACUGGUCUGAGAGGAUGAGCAGUCACACUGGAACUGAGACACGGUCCAGACUCCUACGGGAGGCAGCAGUGGGGAAUAUUGGAAGAUGGGCGAAAGCCUAAUCCAGCCAUGCCGCGUGUGUGAAGAAGGUCUUCGGAUUGUAAAGCACUUUAAGUUGGGAGGAAGGGCAGUAAGUUAAUACCUUGCUGUUUUGACGUUACCAACAGAAUAAGCACCGGCUAACUUCGUG
rnacentral:rRNA from 1 species